AGUACUGGCGGUGGCGAUUGACCCUGCCGAACUACCUACUACGCUGGUCCGUACAUGGGUACCCACCGAAGUAACCCUAUGGUAAGCGAACGCGGAACCACUCAAAGAGUAGAAAAUAAUCUUACUCUGUAUACUUUACAACCCACCGCGUACCACCCAGCGAACUAGUUCGAUGGGGCUGCAACGUCUCACCAGUAGAUGAAAGAAACGAAAAAAAACGAAACAAAAGAAGUAAGAAAGUAGCCAAAAAUGAAGCUGCGCUGCUUCUGCGGAGCAGAGCGCUGCUUCGUUUUCGGUUUUUGACAUUGCAUUGGUGGAAUGUUCUAUUUCUUUCGGCUGAAUUUGUUGAGACGCGCUUGUGAGUUCCAGUGAAAAAAGUGAACAUUUAUCAAAUCAAUUAUUUAAAAAAAGGUAAGACAAAGCAACUUUAAUUAAAUAUGUACAGCAGGCGGCAUUUACGUAGACUUAGGAAGGAAACUAGCGAUAAAUAUGCUAACAAACUAAAACUAGUGAGGGCAGAGACAGUGUCGUCCAGUGAAACAGAAAAAGUUGAGGUACUAUCUGUCCAGGGACUGGUACAGAUGGACAAAGAUAUAAACAGCUCAAACAGAGAUUUAUACAUUGAUGCAAUAAAAACGAUUCUCCUGCCAAGCGGUAUUUUAAAAAAUUUUAAAAAUAUUCUUGCUAAUGCCGUUGUGUUAGCCUAUAACGUGGAUAGAGUGCAAGGCAAGUCGGCGCUGAAAGAUCUUAAGAAUUUUUAUGGAGUUUUGCUUGAUGCUAUAACUGUAGAGGCAGAGACUGGAUCAGCGGAAAUACAACUAAGAAAAGCUCUUCAGCUGCAAAAAAACGACAUUUUAAAAAUAUAAGCAACAAUAACAACAACAAAAUAAUAGAUAAUAAUAACUCAUAAGGAAAUUAGACAAAUAAAAUAAGUGAAAUUGUCAACUGCACGAGCUUUUCUAAUUAUGUUCCUUGUUUCCUUUUACUACCCCUUAUAUGGGUACCCAU